AACAUGUGGCCAGUUUGAAGCAAGUUGUCCCAUAGAUGACUUGUAUUAUUAUAUACAAACUACAGUAAUAAAAAGGAACUUGCAGCCUCA